UAUGUAUAUAACUCAUACCAAUAUUUCAACAUUUUCUAAUGUCUUUACUUGUAUUUACUUUAGCUGGUAACAACAAGAAACACAAACACUUCUAGCAGAGUGGAAGACAACCUGCCAAUCGACUUGUCUCAGGUUGAACCUCAGCCUGAUGUUGGAGCCAUUGGAGAGAGGCACAAGUGCAGUAAGCGACAGGCCACUGACCACACAUACUCACUGCCUGCUUGUCCCAAGGCUAUACGUGCAAAACUCCAAGAAGCCUCAGCAAGAGUGAGGAAACUGCAGCGGGAGAAGUCAAAUGCCUUGGCAAGAGAAAGGAGGGC